rnacentral:lncRNA from 1 species
UCAUUCUCGUGUGGUUCACUGCAACUCCAUGUUCUCUUCCGAGCUUGAAAAUUUAGGUCUGUUCGACCUUCAAAAUUUUACAUGAUCUGAGUUCAAACCGGUUUAAGCCAGGUUGGUUUCUAUCCUUAAUUUUAUU